rnacentral:rRNA from 1 species
UGCAAGUCGAGCGGAUGANNAGGAGCUUGCUCCUCUGAUUCAGCGGCGGACGGGUGAGUAAUGCCUAGGAAUCUGCCUGGUAGUGGGGGACAACGUUUCGAAAGGAACGCUAAUACCGCAUACGUCCUACGGGAGAAAGUGGGGGACCUUCGGACCUUGCGCUAUUAGAUGAGCCUAGGUCGGAUUAGCUAGUUGGUGAGGUAAUGGCUCACCAAGGCGACGAUCCGUAACUGGUCUGAGAGGAUGAUCAGUCACACUGGAACUGAGACACGGUCCAGACUCCUACGGGAGGCAGCAGUGGGGAAUAUUGGACAAUGGGCGAAAGCCUGAUCCAGCCAUGCCGCGUGUGUGAAGAAGGUC